UACGGGGGGGGCAAGCGUUGUUCGGAAUUACUGGGCGUAAAGGGCUCGUAGGCGGCCAACUAAGGCAGACGUGAAAUCCCUCGGCUUAACCGGGGAACUGCGUCUGAUACUGGAUGGCUUGAGUUUGGGAGAGGGAUGCGGAAUUCCAGGUGUAGCGGUGAAAUGCGUAGAUAUCUGGAGGAACACCGGUGGCGAAGGCGGCAUCCUGGACCAACACUGACGCUGAGUGAGCGAAAGCCAGGGGAGCAAACGGG
rnacentral:rRNA from 1 species